GCCCAGGUGGUGGAAUUAGGCAGACACGCUACCUUGAGGUGGUAGUGGGCGCAAGCCCUUGCGGGUUCGAGUCCCGCCUUGGGCACCA
rnacentral:tRNA from 1 species